ACUACGGGUGGCAGCAGUGGGGGAUAUUGCACAAUGGGGGGAACCCUGAUGCAGCGACGCCGCGUGGGUGAAGAAGCGCCUCGGCGCGUAAAGCCCUGUCAGCAGGGAAGAAAAUGACGGUACCUGAAGAAGAAGCCCCGGCUAACUACGUGCCAGCAGCCGCGGUAAUACGUAGGGGGCAAGCGUUAUCCGGAUUUCCUGGGGGUAAAGGGGGCGCAGACGGCGAGGCAAGCCAGGAGUGAAAGCCCGGGGCCCAACCCCGGGACUGCUCUUGGAACUGGGUGGCUGGAGUGCAGGAGGGGCAGGCGGAAUUCCUGGUGUAGCGGUGAAAUGCGUAGAUAUCAGGAGGAACACCGGUGGCGAAGGCGGCCUGCUGGACUGCAACUGACGUUGAGGCCCGAAAGCGUGGGGAGCAAACAGGAUUAGAUACCCCAGUAGUC
rnacentral:rRNA from 1 species